rnacentral:lncRNA from 1 species
AGUAACAGAAAAAUGUAUAUCAUCUUCGACCAUUAACCUUCGAGUGGUAACGUACGGUCCAUGACACCGACGUAAUGGAUUUUUCGCGGUAAAACUCAAAUGCGCAUAUUUUUUUGUCCGCGCGGUCAGGUAGCUUUCAAAUUCUCAUCACACUAUUUAGUCUUGAAAAAUCUGUGGCCAAGUGUGGAUAGUUCAUAUGUUAUUUGACCUGACGGUGUGAGAGACCGAGGUUGCCAUUUAUGUUAUACUUAACAGAGUUGUAUGUGAAUAUUGAUUAUGAAAGAGAACAAAGCAGGUUGCAACAACUUUUUGACGAAAUUGUUGCUAAUUCCGAACCAGAACCGUACAGUGCGGUGCAGUGGAGUGUAUAAAAAAAUGAGCAAACAAACGGACAAUAAUUUCAGUUUGUGUUGGACAUUUGUUGAAUAAUUUUAUUUUUUUUUUGUGACAUUUCAACCCUUGUCGAUAUGUUUGUUGAUAUUUUGUAUUCAAAAACUUGACAUGUUUUUGUAAAUUGUUUGUCAAUUAUGUUAGUAUCUAAAAGAAGCCAAUUUUUUAAUGUGCAUUUUUUUCUCGAAUAUAAAUAAAUAUUGAUCAUUUCUUACUA